rnacentral:rRNA from 1 species
UAGGGAAUCUUCCACAAUGGACGCAAGUCUGAUGGAGCAACGCCGCGUGAGUGAAGAAGGUUUUCGGAUCGUAAAGCUCUGUUGUUGGUGAAGAAGGAUAGAGGUAGUAACUGGCCUUUAUUUGACGGUAAUCAACCAGAAAGUCACGGCUAACUACGUGCCAGCAGCCGCGGUAAUACGUAGGUGGCAAGCGUUGUCCGGAUUUAUUGGGCGUAAAGCGAGCGCAGGCGGAAGAAUAAGUCUGAUGUGAAAGCCCUCGGCUUAACCGAGGAACUGCAUCGGAAACUGUUUUUCUUGAGUGCAGAAGAGGAGAGUGGAACUCCAUGUGGAGCGGUGGAAUGCGUAGAUAUAUGGAAGAACACCAGUGGCGAAGGCGACUCGCAGGUCUGCAACUGACGCUGAGGCUCGAAAGCAUGGGUAGCGAACAGG